rnacentral:rRNA from 1 species
AGUGAACGCUGGCGGCAGGCCUAACACAUGCAAGUCGAGCGGCAGCGCGGGGGCAACCCUGGCGGCGAGCGGCGGACGGGUGAGGAAUUCGUCGGAAUCUGCCUUUUUGUGGGGGAUAACGUAGGGAAACUUACGCUAAUACCGCAUACGUCCUACGGGAGAAAGUGGGGGACCGCAAGGCCUCACGCAGAAAGAUGAGCCGACGACCGAUUAGCUAGUUGGUGGGGUAAAGGCCCACCAAGGCGACGAUCGGUAGCUGGUCUGAGAGGAUGAUCAGCCACACUGGGACUGAGACACGGCCCAGACUCCUACGGGAGGCAGCAGUGGGGAAUAUUGGACAAUGGGCGCAAGCCUGAUCCAGCCAUGCCGCGUGUGUGAAGAAGGCCUUCGGGUUGUAAAGCACUUUUGUCCGGAAAGAAAUCCCUGGAGCUAAUACCUUCGGGGGAUGACGGUACCGGAAGAAUAAGCACCGGCAAACUUCGUG